UCCCUCACUUCUUAUUUUCUUUUCUUUCUUUUCUUUUCUUUUCUCUCAUAUACUCCUCUCUAUCACCUGCUCAUCCCCUCCCACCGGUACCUUCAUACCACCAUCUUCACCAUCAUUUUUCCGGCAAUGUCACUGAAAAAUCCUUAGGAACCUCUAAGCAUUUUCAUCUUUUAUUUGAGUCUUUGUGACAAUGAAAUCAAAUUCAGGUCAAUGCUCUUUCACUUUGGAAUCUUGGAUGACACGUUCUUCCUUGCUGCCCAUGGGGGGAAGAGGUUCCUUGAUUGUGUGUGAGUGAGGCUGCUGCCCAUGGGACCAAGAGAUCACAUGCAAGAGAGAUCCUAUUUGAUGCACUCUUUCUGCUGCCCAUGGAGGGAGAGAAAAACCUUGAGAGUAUAGGUGAGGCUGCUGUCUAUGGGGCCAAGAGUCUGCAUACCAGAGAGGACAAUAUCAUGCCAGUUGUGAAUGGGUAGAUCCCCUAACUGGUCUAUGUGGUAGUGUGAUAUAUUUGUGAUAACUUACCUUAUGUUAGAUAUUAUAGCUUUGGAAAUUAUAUUGUUGAUGCUCACAAAUUAUGAUAUAUAGUUUCAUGUAUUAUUUUGAGAAACUUUGUGUUUCAUCAUUUAAUCAUUCUUGUUACAUUAUUAUUGCAAA